AUGGAGGUCUGGAUCCUAGGUCUAGUAGUGUGUGAGUGUCUCUCUCUGGCAAAUAAAGUGGAGCUGCGUUUUGGAUCUUGUCUAGGUGGUUGUUCAACUCUCCCUUGGGGCCACGCUGGUGGCGAAAAGGCGGAGGCAAGGAUGAUCCCUGGCAGCGGAUCCUUCGGCGGCUUCCCUCAGCCGGAUCCAUGGCGAAGCUUAGGCCCGUCCGGUUUCGUCCCCACUUCUCCCCCCUUUUCUUGCUGUAAUAAAUCCCAAUAUGGUGCGCCAGAUGCUCUUCUUCCUCGAUCUGUUCUUACCACCAUGGUUGUGGGAAGAGAGAUAGAGCAGCAGGAGAUGUACAUGCCUACCACUUGCAGGAGGCCUCGUUGCUACCUUCCUCCACUUGAUGCCGCCAAGGUGGUGGAUGAAGAGGGGUGGGGAAGCACUGAGCUGAAGAUUGAUGGUCGGGUUCGAGCUCAUCAGCAGAGGAUUCUAUGGUGGAGCUACGGCGCCUGCAGUCGGCUGCCGGUCUUCAUCGACCCUCUGCUUCUUCUGGUCGAAGGGCGGCCAACCCCUUUCCUCCUGGCUUGCAUGCCUUAUGGGAGGCAGUUCCAGUUUUCGUUCAGAGGCUCUGGGAUGCACGUGCUGCACCCAUGGCGAUCUCGUCGCCCAAGUGGUUCGUCCCCGGCGACGGCGAGGUUCAAUCUGAGCGAAGGCUGCCAAGGACCCGAUUGCAUUUUAAUCUUUCAGUUAGGGGUUCUCCAUGUAAAAGUCUGGGACUUUGUUGUAAUCUUUCUUUUUCUUUCGGUCCUGAUGUAA
rnacentral:rRNA from 1 species